UACGUAGGUGGCAAGCGUUAUCCGGAUUUACUGGGUGUAAAGGGCGUGUAGGCGGGACUGCAAGUCAGAUGUGAAAACCACGGGCUCAACCUGUGGCCUGCAUUUGAAACUGUAGUUCUUGAGUACUGGAGAGGCAGACGGAAUUCCUAGUGUAGCGGUGAAAUGCGUAGAUAUUAGGAGGAACACCAGUGGCGAAGGCGGCCUGCUGGACGAUGACUGACGUUGAGGCUCGAAAGCGUGGGGAGCAAACAGG
rnacentral:rRNA from 1 species